UAAGAGAGACCAGAGGGGUGUCCCACAUUUACUUAGCUUUGAUUCCCAUUUCAACUAUAGUUUAUGGUGGAAAUACUGACACUUUGCAAAUAUUCAGUUAGAGAGUUUAAUUUCACAGUCAGUGAUGCAGGGGUGCAGCUGGUCCAGUAAGAGGGCAUCCAGUGGAGAUGAGCAGAAGAGGACUGCUCAUCAGCUUACCAUAGCAGACCAUACCCCCAACAGCACCACAGCUGACCCACAACAGACUGGACUGGAUAAGGGUAACCUCUGGUUGUACUGACUGUGAGAGGACAGAGCAUGAUCAUCAGGAGGAGAGGAAGGACCAGAGCAAGUUUCAGUAUUUAGAUGAGAUAAAGGACAUCACAAAUGGAGAUCCAGCAGUGUAACUGACAACACUCCAGGAGGGAUGUCAAACAAAAUGAUGAACACCUGAUGAGAAGUGGGAGCAAACUUCCUGUUUCAUCCCUGCGGCCCAUGGUGCAGUGCUGCAUCUCUGGUCAGUUGGUAGUCUGAGAUGAAGCACUGUAGCUCGGGACGGAGGACAGACACAUAAAACCAGACUGAGCACUGGUCUAUGAAGGAGAACGACAUUCAGCAGGACUACAGACCCUGUAUGCUUUGGACAGGGACCACGAAGAGCCCAUGGAUGGAUUUUUGGGAUGCAGAAUGUAACAAUGCUCAUAUAUAUAUUGGAUGUUUGAGACAUUUCUGUCACAAUACAUCUAGAGGACUCAAAUGUCUAAAAAUCAGGUUUGGAAAAACACAACAGAAAAAAAAAAAAAUAUAUAAUUUAAUAAACCCUGAUCUGACCUCUGAUUUCUCCUCUCUCCCGGGGUCCAGUUUUCCCAGGAAUCCCUUGACCAAUCAGAAAGGGGGAUUCCUGGAAAUACUGUUCUUGGGGGUGGGGCUUACCAGCUGUACCUGUAUGUAAUGUAUGUGUAGUAUGCAUUGUAUGUCAUGGGUGUGUACAAAACCCAGUGACACUAGAGUCUACAAACAUCAAUGUAUUUCAGUGGUAUGUAUGUUUUACAUACAUAAACAUUUCAUUCUGUUGUGCAUAAACUGUUGUCUUUAACCAUCAAAUAAACUUGUUUUUAAUGUGUU